UGAAUUGUGGAGUAUGGCCACGGGAUUCAGUCCUUUUCCCACGGUCUAGGAACGUCCCGACCAUACUCCGAGAACGUCAGAAACUAAGAUCACGGAAGCGUUUUUUACAAACUGCCACCGACUACGCGAGCAAUGUUCGCUGGUGGACGUCCGUGUUUUUUACUGUGACUAAAGAAGUGCGACCAAGGCAGUCCAUCGACAUGAAUUAGAAAGCAUGGGAUAACAAAGCAGCAGCCUAUGAGCUACCGUUUAGGCUUUUGUUGGUUUUAAAGGUUCGUGGGAGAUUACGGGCGUGUAGGACCGGCGUUGGGGGUUUUCCAAAAUCCCCGCGUCUCCUCCUGGCAUCGGAAACGGUGCUUGCGGGGCCUGCUUCGCUCAGGAAUGAAGGAGGGUUGCUCGGGGGAAAACGUACUUGGGCGUGAGAGGUGAAAUUCUUAGACCGCCCAAAGACGAACUACAGCGAAGGCAUUUUCCAAGGAUACCUUCCUCAAUCAAGAACCAAAGUGUGGG
rnacentral:rRNA from 1 species